rnacentral:rRNA from 1 species
GAUCCUGGCUCAGGAUGAACGCUAGCGGCAGGCCUAACACAUGCAAGUCGAGGGGCAUCACGAGGUAGCAAUACUUUGGUGGCGACCGGCGCACGGGUGCGUAACGCGUAUGUAACCUACCUAUAACAGGGGCAUAACACUGAGAAAUUGGUACUAAUUCCCCAUAAUAUUCGGAGAGGCAUCUCUCCGGGUUGGUAAAACUACCGGUGGUUAUAGAUGGACAUGCGUUGUAUUAGCUAGUUGGUUGAGG